rnacentral:rRNA from 1 species
GACGAACGCUGGCGGCGUGCUUAACACAUGCAAGUCGAACGAUAACGGAGGGUACUUGUGCCUAUUGUAUGAUCAGCGAGCGGAUGAGUGACGAGUGCGUAAUCAACCUUUGCUAGGGGGACAACAUACGGCAACGAAUGCUAGUACCGCAUAAAAACUUUACGCACAAGGUUUAAGUAUGAAAGAUACAGUUGCAUCACUCAAAGAUGCUCUCGCGGUGGAUUAGCUAGUUGGCGGGGUAAAGGCUCACCAAGGCGAUGACACAUAGCCGACCUGAGAGGGUGAACGGCCACAUUGGGACUGAGACACGGCCCAAACUCCUACGGGAGGCAGCAGUAGGGAAUCUUCGGCAAUGGGCGAAAGUCUGACCGAGCAACGCCGCGUGAGUGAAGAAGGCUGUCGGGUCGUAAAGCUCGGUUGGUAGGGAAGAACGUUCGUGAGGGUGGAAAGCACAUGAAGUGACGGUAACUUAAGAGAAAGCCACGGCUAACUACGUG